rnacentral:rRNA from 1 species
CCUACGGGUGGCAGCAGUCGAGAAUCAUUCACAAUGGGGGAAACCCUGAUGGUGCGACGCCGCGUGGGGGAAUGAAGGUCUUCGGAUUGUAAACCCCUGUCAUGUGGGAGCAAAUUAAAAAGAUAGUACCACAAGAGGAAGAGACGGCUAACUCUGUGCCAGCAGCCGCGGUAAUACAGAGGUCUCAAGCGUUGUUCGGAAUCACUGGUCGUAAAGUGUGCGUAGGCUGUUUCGUAAGUCGUGUGUGAAAGGCGCGGGCUCAACCCGCGGACGGCACCUGAUACUGCGAGACUAGAGUAAUGGAGGGGGAACCGGAAUUCUCGGUGUAGCAGUGAAAUGCGUAGAUAUCGAGCGGAACACUCGUGGCGAAGGCAGGUUCCUGGACAUUAACUGACGCUGAGGCACGAAGGCCAGGGGAGCGAAAGGGAUUAGAUACCCGAGUAGUC